rnacentral:lncRNA from 1 species
CUCUCAUACUGAUAAGAACUACACUUCUGUUAGGUUCACAUCUGUCAACUUAUCCUUCUCAUGCAGAUUUCUACUGGAAGCCUUGGAGGACCUCGACACAAGCCUGCGGACACUAAAUUCGAGGCUAUUCGUAGUACGAGGCCAGCACACAGAUGUCUUUCCAAGACUUUUCAAGGAGUAGAAUGUCACCCGGCUGACCUUCGAGUACGACUCGGAGCCCUAUGGGACGAAGCGCGACGCCACCAUCCUGAAGAUGGCACAGGAGUUUGGCGUGGAGACCCGCGUCAGAAAUUCCCACACACUCUACAAACUGGCCAGCGCUUCCAGGCCAUCGUCCACCGGCUGGAGCUGCCCAAGAAGCCCCUUCCCACUGUCACCCGACAACAGAUGGACUGCUGCCAGACAGGUAUCGCGGCCAAUCAUGAUGAGCGUUACGGAGUGCCCUCCCUCGAUGAACUAGGUGAGGGACGUGUGUGUGUUGGUAUCUCUCAUCAUCGUCUGCUAGUGAUGAUAAAUCGGUUUGAUUUUUAAUGGAAUUUGACAACAACAAAAAAUGAUCGGGCAGGUUUUAAGACUCACUGCUUUGGUCCUGCUGCGUGGAGGGGCGGGGAGAUUGAGGCACUGGAGAGACUGGACAAAAAGGUGAGUCACCUGAUCUGGGUGUAUCCAGGCCUGGCAUAGUGACCAGUCGGCCAAGGCUCCCUGGCCACCUCGAUCACAAACA